UACGGAGGGUGCAAGCGUUAUCCGGAAUCACUGGGUUUAAAGGGUGCGUAGGUGGUUUAAUAAGUCAGAAGUGAAAGCUGGUCGCUUAACGAUCAAAUUGCUUUUGAUACUGUUAGACUUGAAUUAGGUUGAGGUUAGCGGAAUGUGACAUGUAGCGGUGAAAUGCAUAGAUAUGUCAUAGAACACCAAUUGCGAAGGCAGCUGGCUAGACCUAUAUUGACACUGAGGCACGAAAGCGUGGGGAGCGAACAGG
rnacentral:rRNA from 1 species